rnacentral:rRNA from 1 species
GGGUUGUGAGGUUAAGCGACUAAGCGUACACGGUGGAUGCCCUGGCAGUCAGAGGCGAUGAAGGGCGUGCUAAUCUGCGAUAAGCGCCGGUAAGGUGAUAUGAACCGUUAUAACCGGCGAUACCCGAAUGGGGAAACCCAGUGUGAUUCGUCACACUAUCAUUAACUGAAUCCAUAGGUUAAUGAGGCGAACCGGGGGAACUGAAACAUCUAAGUACCCCGAGGAAAAGAAAUCAACCGAGAUUCCCCCAGUAGCGGCGAGCGAACGGGGAGGAGCCCAGAGCCUGAAUCAGCAUGUGUGUUAGUGGAAGCGUCUGGAAAGGCGCGCGAUACAGGGUGACAGCCCCGUACACAAAAGCGCAUGUGCUGUGAGCUCGAUGAGUAGGGCGGGACACGUGGUAUCCUGUCUGAAUAUGGGGGGACCAUCCUCCAAGGCUAAAUACUCCUGACUGACCGAUAGUGAACCAGUACCGUGAGGGAAAGGCGAAAAGAACCCCGGCGAGGGGAGUGAAAAAGAACCUGAAACCGUGUACGUACAAGCAGUGGGAGCNNNNNNNNNNNNNNNNNNNNNNNNNNNNNNNNNNNNNNNNNNGGGCGUUAAGUUGCAGGGUAUAGACCCGAAACCCGGUGAUCUAGCCAUGGGCAGGUUGAAGGUUGGGUAACACUAACUGGAGGACCGAACCGACUAAUGUUGAAAAAUUAGCGGAUGACCUGUGGCUGGGGGUGAAAGGCCAAUCAAACCGGGAGAUAGCUGGUUCUCCCCGAAAGCUAUUUAGGUAGCGCCUCGUGAAUUCAUCUCCGGGGGUAGAGCACUGUUUCGGCUAGGGGGCCAUCCCGGCUUACCAACCCGAUGCAAACUGCGAAUACCGGAGAAUGUUAUCACGGGAGACACACGGCGGGUGCUAACGUCCGUCGUGAAGAGGGAAACAACCCAGACCGCCAGCUAAGGUCCCAAAGUCAUGGUUAAGUGGGAAACGAUGUGGGAAGGCCCAGACAGCCAGGAUGUUGGCUUAGAAGCAGCCAUCAUUUAAAGAAAGCGUAAUAGCUCACUGGUCGAGUCGGCCUGCGCGGAAGAUGUAACGGGGCUAAACCAUGCACCGAAGCUGCGGCAGCGACACUGUGUGUUGUUGGGUAGGGGAGCGUUCUGUAAGCCUGCGAAGGUGGCCUGUGAGGGUUGCUGGAGGUAUCAGAAGUGCGAAUGCUGACAUAAGUAACGAUAAAGCGGGUGAAAAGCCCGCUCGCCGGAAGACCAAGGGUUCCUGUCCAACGUUAAUCGGGGCAGGGUGAGUCGACCCCUAAGGCGAGGCCGAAAGGCGUAGUCGAUGGGAAACGGGUUAAUAUUCCCGUACUUGGUGUUACUGCGAAGGGGGGACGGAGAAGGCUAUGUUGGCCGGGCGACGGUUGUCCCGGUUUAAGCGUGUAGGUGUGUGUUCCAGGUAAAUCCGGUUCACUUUAACACUGAGGCGUGACGACGAGGCACUACGGUGCUGAAGCAACAAAUGCCCUGCUUCCAGGAAAAGCCUCUAAGCAUCAGGUAACAUCAAAUCGUACCCCAAACCGACACAGGUGGUCAGGUAGAGAAUACCAAGGCGCUUGAGAGAACUCGGGUGAAGGAACUAGGCAAAAUGGUGCCGUAACUUCGGGAGAAGGCACGCUGACACGUAGGUGAAGUGAUUUACUCAUGGAGCUGAAGUCAGUCGAAGAUACCAGCUGGCUGCAACUGUUUAUUAAAAACACAGCACUGUGCAAACACGAAAGUGGACGUAUACGGUGUGACGCCUGCCCGGUGCCGGAAGGUUAAUUGAUGGGGUCAGCGCAAGCGAAGCUCCUGAUCGAAGCCCCGGUAAACGGCGGCCGUAACUAUAACGGUCCUAAGGUAGCGAAAUUCCUUGUCGGGUAAGUUCCGACCUGCACGAAUGGCGUAAUGAUGGCCAGGCUGUCUCCACCCGAGACUCAGUGAAAUUGAACUCGCUGUGAAGAUGCAGUGUACCCGCGGCAAGACGGAAAGACCCCGUGAACCUUUACUAUAGCUUGACACUGAACAUUGAGCCUUGAUGUGUAGGAUAGGUGGGAGGCUUUGAAGUGUGGACGCCAGUCUGCAUGGAGCCGACCUUGAAAUACCACCCUUUAAUGUUUGAUGUUCUAACGUGGACCCGUUACCCGGGUUGCGGACAGUGUCUGGUGGGUAGUUUGACUGGGGCGGUCUCCUCCUAAAGAGUAACGGAGGAGCACGAAGGUUGGCUAAUCCUGGUCGGACAUCAGGAGGUUAGUGCAAUGGCAUAAGCCAGCUUGACUGCGAGCGUGACGGCGCGAGCAGGUGCGAAAGCAGGUCAUAGUGAUCCGGUGGUUCUGAAUGGAAGGGCCAUCGCUCAACGGAUAAAAGGUACUCCGGGGAUAACAGGCUGAUACCGCCCAAGAGUUCAUAUCGACGGCGGUGUUUGGCACCUCGAUGUCGGCUCAUCACAUCCUGGGGCUGAAGUAGGUCCCAAGGGUAUGGCUGUUCGCCAUUUAAAGUGGUACGCGAGCUGGGUUUAGAACGUCGUGAGACAGUUCGGUCCCUAUCUGCCGUGGGCGCUGGAGAACUGAGGGGGGCUGCUCCUAGUACGAGAGGACCGGAGUGGACGCAUCACUGGUGUUCGGGUUGUCAUGCCAAUGGCACUGCCCGGUAGCUAAAUGCGGAAGAGAUAAGUGCUGAAAGCAUCUAAGCACGAAACUUGCCCCGAGAUGAGUUCUCCCUGAGACUUAGAGUCUCCUGAAGGAACGUUGAAGACGACGACGUUGAUAGGCCGGGUGUGUAAGCGCAGCGAUGCGUUGAGCUAACCGGUACUAAUGAACCGUGAGGCUUAACCUUACAACGCCGAAG